GAUGAACGCUGGCGGCGUGCUUAAUACAUGCAAGUCGAGCGAACGGACGCGAAUUUUGUUUCUUUCAUGUUUGCCGCGGACGGGUGUGUAACAUGUGUAUCCUCUACCUAUCUGUCUGGGAUCUCUUCGGGAAACCGGCGCUUAUCCCGGAUAAUAUUUUGAACCGUAUUGUUCAUAAGUGAAUGUCGGUCUUGCUGUCUCUUAUCGAUGGUUCUAGGCUGCAUUAGCUAGUUGGUACGGUAACGGCUUACCAAGGCAACUAUGCAUAGACGACGUAAGAGGGGGAUCGGCCACACUGGAACUUAAACACGGACCAGACGACUACGGGAGGCAGCAGUAGGGAAUGUUCGGCAAUAGGCGAGAGCCUGACGGAGCAACGCCACGUGAGAGAUGAAGAUCUUCGGAGCGUAAAGCUCUGUUAUUAGGGAAGAACAGAUGUGGAAGUAACUGAGCAGAUCGUGACGGUAACGAAUCAAAAAGCAACGGCUAACUACGUG
rnacentral:rRNA from 1 species